rnacentral:rRNA from 1 species
CAGGCAGCGUGUGUGAAGAAGGCCUUCGGGUGGUAAAGCACUUUCAGCGGGGAGGAAGGAGGGAAGGGGAA